UACAGAGGGUGCGAGCGUUAAUCGGAAUUACUGGGCGUAAAGCGUGCGUAGACGGUUACGUAAGUCGGGUGUGAAAGCCCCGGGCUCAACCUGGGAAUUGCAUUCGAGACUGCGUAGCUAGGGUGCGGAAGAGGGAAGCGGAAUUUCCGGUGUAGCGGUGAAAUGCGUAGAUAUCGGAAGGAACAUCAGUGGCGAAAGCGGCUUCCUGGACCAGUACCGACGUUCAGGCACGAAAGCGUGGGGAGCAAACAGG
rnacentral:rRNA from 1 species